AUGGCAGGACAAGGACAGAGGAAGAAUCAUCUUUGUAUUGUCACAAUGAAGAAGACUGAAGAAAACAGACCUGCAAAGGGCCCAGCUGUCAGGUACAUUCAGAGCAAGCAGAUGGGACCAGUCCUCACACAAAAAGCAGCAAGAAGUGAGACCUUCCACCCAGCUGGUAAGUUUGCAGACCUUAAUAUAGUUAAUUUACUGGUGGGAUGUGAUACGAAUAUGAGAGACUUAUCUUUAAAUCCCUUCUCCUUGAUUUGGGAGACAGGAUUGAAUACGAGUCCAAAAGAAAUAUUUAAUGCUCUGCUGUAAAGUCAGUCUUCACAUUGAUUUCUGCUCUGUUUAAAGCUACAUACAGUAUUGUCCUAAUCUAACAACUACUUUAAUUGUCCCUCUUUAUGCUUGCUUUGUGUCCUGUGUAGGAGUAGUCCAGAGGCAGUGUGACUGAAGGGACGAACACAGCACUGACAUGGGAGCUCCUACAACCCAGGUAGGAAACAUCACAUGUGUACGUGCCCAUUCCUGGCACCAAUCCCAGGAGCACACAUCAGACAGACCAUAUAGACCAAGAGGAUGCAAAAGUACCACAAAUGGGUUUUACAGAAGACACUCGGCUGGGGUCAGGUCUGCCAGUAGGAAAUAGUAAAUACUUUUCACUGUGACUAGGGCACCUCUAUUCACAUUGCAAUCAUCUUCCUCAAAACUAUUUCCCAAAGGCAGAUGCUUUCAUCCAUUCUCUCAAUGCUUUAGUAGCUAGCUCUUAAACCGCAGCUUGCUGUGAAGGAAAUGGUUGUCUUUAUAAAGCUGUUGUCGCUGAGCAUUCUUGGAAGGGGUCUAAGACCAAGAGGCAGAGUACAAAAGAAAGCAUGUUUACGCAGCCCAGUGCCUGGGAGAAGUCCUAAGUUUUGACCUCUGCUCCUUGGGCUGUUUCUUUGCUUGCCAUUAAACAAUCAUUAGGUUUGGUGCCGAUGGGGAAAGAGUUAAGUGCUGAGUGAAAGCAGACACAGCUGACAAGGACAGAAAUAGGAAGAACAAAACAAUGAAGGGCGUGUGUGCGUGUGCGUGUGUGUGUGUGUGUGUAUGAGGGGUUACUACCUGUGCUGGAACUUGUGUAGUGCUACUGGAGGCAGAAUGGAGGGGCUUUGUAUCUUUGAACAAAGAUCAGGUAGGCAGAAGUGCCUGUGGCUUGCAAAUUAAAUUAAAACACAGGUUGUUUUUUUUUCCUGCUUGGUGAGUUGUUAGGUGGCCAGAUAAUGGGGCAAAGGGGCAAGAGGAGGGGGAAAAAAGGAGAUGUAACACAUGCAAAUACAGACCUAGAGAGAUGUCCUGUCGAGUGGUGCUUAAUAUUACCUAUGCCUCCCACUCAAAAUGUGAACUGCAGACCAGAUUAGAUCAGGGAAUGCUAGCCAUGUCCAGUACAAAAUAUGUUUUGUUUGGUUUGGUUUCUUUUAUAACACAGAGAGAGGGAGCAUAAGUUCAGGGAGGUAAGUGAAAGUUCAGGGAGAUUUCUCCACAUUCAUGAAACCUGAGUUCAUAGUCGAGUUAUUGAGUCACAUACAGAUGAGGAUCUUGCCUGGUCAGUUCAAAAAAAAAGCAGUCCAGCCCCAUACCCUUCCCCCUGUAAGCUCCUUGAUGUUCAGUAGGUGUGGUUGGGUGAAGAAAAGCCAGACCAAUACCAACAGCUGCAUGGAAUCUUUCCACGGCUGAAAGGUGAAUAAUUAACUCUCUUAUAACUGCAGCCCCUCAGGGGGAGGUGAGUCACUAGCCCGAUUUAGAGUUAUGUUAUCUUGUAAUGAACAAUAAGAGGGAAAUCUAUACGUGUCUUGACAGUUCCAGUGAGACUUCGAUGAUCUGUGCCCCAAAAAUCUCAAAAAGGGAGUUGAUCAAAAUGCACUUCUAAGAAAAUAACUGAUUUUCUGCAUACAGUUCAUCAGUGGAUAAGGAAGAUCAUUUUUAUAGGGAUAUGAGAUUUCCUGAGAAUAAUGCUGAGGAUUAGACAAGAAGGAAAAAAAAGUGGUUUGGUUUUAAUUGGCAACAUUGUGCCAGUAUCUAAAAUUAGAUACAAUCAGGGUGAGAAUUAAAUUAUUUCUGAGUCCAGUCAUGCUAAUACUGUUGUAUGUGGAUGCUUGGGAUAGAGUGAGGGGUCCACAAAAGGCUAAUAUGAAAAAUAAGCCUGCUGAUGGGUGACUUAAAAACCUACUAAUACAUUUUUUCUCAAUGGAUCUGAAUGUCCACAGGGAAAUCUCCAGCAGCACGUAAAUUCAGAAAGCUUAAAGGCUGGUCUAAACUUGAAAAAUCUUCGCAUACAUUAACUACGCUCAUUGAGAAAAGCCAUAUAAAUUGAUUCUCCUCAUAUGGAAGGAAAGAAGAUUGGAGCCCUUGGGUCCUGCACAAGGCAGUGCCCUUCCUGCUUCUCCUGGGGCUGCGGCCAGUUCAUUUAAGACCAUUCAAGUUCAGAAAGUGGCUCAUGGAAAAUACCAAUGUGCCACUUUUUACUAAACCUUGCAAAGACAAGUGAAGUGGCUCUGUGCUCACUUUUUCCUGCAACUAAAUUGCUACCAGCUUCAUAGACCUGAUAAGACCCUUUGGUGGAUCAGCCCCACAUCGUCACAGCUAUAGAGGGUCAUCAGCCUCAUUCGUCAUUUCAACAUAUCAUGCAGUCAUGUUCUGAUGGAAGGAGCACUUCUUGAGUUUUUUACUUUCCUCCAGCCAACUUACAAGUAGUACGAAGUGACUCAGGAGGGAGUUGUGUUUGUGUCUUCCCAGUGGGGAAUGAAUCAGAUCCGUGUGUGAGGGGAAGCAAGUGACCUGAGUGAGUAAAUUAAGGGCUUUUCAAAGCUUUGGUAGGGGUUUAAAGAGGAAAAGAAGUUGCAAAGACUGCUUUAAAUUAUGUUUCUUUCCAAGAAGCCAUGACACCUCUAUUAUCUGAGUAAAAGUAGGGUGUUUGCAAGUAGUACACAAUGAAACAGGUAAUUCCAUAGAAAAAUGAAAAAAGAAAUAAAGAGCAUAAAAAACAACA
ensembl:lncRNA